rnacentral:rRNA from 1 species
UACGUAGGGGGCAAGCGUUGUCCGGAUUUAUUGGGCGUAAAGAGCGUGUAGGCGGCCAUGUAGGUCCGUUGUGAAAACUCGAGGCUCAACCUCGAGACGCCGAUGGAAACCAUGUGGCUAGAGUCCGGAAGAGGAGAGUGGAAUUCCUGGUGUAGCGGUGGAAUGCGCAGAUAUCAGGAGGAACACCAAUAGCGAAGGCAGCUCGCUGGGACGGUACUGACGCUAAGGCGCGAAAGCGUGGGAGCGAACGAGG